rnacentral:rRNA from 1 species
AUGACUAAAGAUAACCUGCUCAAGAGGGGGAUUGAAAAUCCUCCAGAAUGUGUUUAUUGCUUAGAACAUGAAUCCAUAGAUCACCUUUUCUUUGGUUGUGUUGUAGCUAAGCAAAUGUGGAGUGACAUUUCCAAUAUCCUUUCGCAUGAACUAGGGACCAAUUACUUGUCAAUCGCCAGAUUCUGGCCUGCACAUAAAAAACAUAUGGUUUUGAAUUCUGUAUGUGCAUGUGUGUUAUGGUGCAUCUGGAAAUAUAGAAACUCUUUGGUUUUUUACAAGGUUAACUGGUCUGAUUUGAAACAGAUCUGGUGGUCGAUUCAUUUGACAAUCAAAAAAUGGAUGAUCCUCUUCAAAGGAGAGCAGCUGGAGGAGAUGAGAACAAUCUCUUCACAAAUUUCUUUGAUCCUCAGAUCGCCAUUCAUGCUGACAGUGGGGUGA